rnacentral:tRNA from 1 species
GGGCGCGUAGCUCAGUUGGUAGAGCAUCUGACUUUUAAUCAGACGGUCCCAGGUUCGAAUCCUGGCGCGCUCACCA